rnacentral:rRNA from 1 species
GGCUUGACAUCCCACAAAUUUGGCUGAGAAGUCGAAGUGCCUUCGGGAAUGUGGAGACAGGUGGUGCAUGGCUGUCGUCAGCUCGUGUCGUGAGAUGUUGGGUUAAGUCCCGCAACGAGCGCAACCCUCGUCCUUAGUUGCCAGCAUUAAGUUGGGGACUCUAGGGAGACCGCCGGGGAAAACUCGGAGGAAGGUGAGGAUGACGUCAAGUCAGCAUGCCCCUUAUGUCUUGGGCUACACACGUACUACAAUGGUUGGGACAAAGGGAAGCAAAACUGCGAAGUGGAGCGAAUCUCAUCAAACCCAGCCUCAGUUCAGAUUGCAGGCUGAAACUCGCCUGCAUGAAGGAGGAAUCGCUAGUAAUCGCAGGUCAGCAUACUGCGGUGAAUCCGUUCCCGG